rnacentral:rRNA from 1 species
UAAUACGAGGGGUGCAAGCGUUAAUCGGAAUUACUGGGCGUAAAGCGUUCGUAGGCGGUUAUUUAAGCAAGAUGUGAAAGCCCAGGGCUCAACCUUGGAACUGCAUUUUGAACUGGGUAACUAGAGUACUGUAGAGGGUGGUGGAAUUUCCAGUGUAGCGGUGAAAUGCGUAGAGAUUGGAAGGAACAUCAGUGGCGAAGGCGGCCACCUGGACAGAUACUGACGCUGAGGAACGAAAGCGUGGGGAGCGAACAGGAUUAGAUACCCUGGUAGUCCACGCCGUAAACGAUGUCAACUAGCCGUUCGUGGACUUGAUCCGUGAGUGGCGCAGCUAACGCACUAAGUUGACCGCCUGGGGAGUACGGCCGCAAGGUUA